CCUCACCAUAAACAUGAUUUGGCCAUAGCCAUGAUAUUGGAUUUUGUACUGUGACAUAAAUCCAUACAUUUGCAAACAACUGUCACAAACUGACAAUGGAUACACCUUUAGUCACAAACAAUAAUAACAAACAUUGAAGAUUAAUCCACCAACUCAUAGAGAAUAUAAUACUGUAAGAAUCUGUAGUAAUGCUACAAUGUAUAGUUUUAGCCAUGGUUUUAUGUUUCUUAUACCUGACUGAGAGCAGACAGAGUCAUAUGGAAUCCCUAUGGAGAUGUGAAGGAGGUGUUUUUGUGCUGGUGUAUAUCACUGUGAUAUGGGGUGGGGUACACAGUGAAAUGAGGCUGUACAAACACCUCAGAGACAGAACUUGCAUUAUAUCUGCCUGAGGAUAGGGAAAAUGGGGAGAAACCAUACAAUAUUCUUCAAAUGAUCGUCUGAUAUUGAUACAACCCCAUUGUAAAUUGUUUUAAAUUUUUUAAAGUAUGUUUUGAUGGAGUAAGUGAUGUCAUGACAUGGACCUGAGCAUCAGUUUUUAAAAGGCAGUGAAUGGAGACAUAGCACUGUGAUGCUUUUGACUACUGGGGUAAAGGGACACAAGUCACCGUCUCAACAGCAACCAUAGCCCCCC